CAUCACAUCUUAUUUGCUUUUUUUGAUAACUUAUUUAUAUAAAACAAACAUCUAUAUUUUAUUUUUUCAUUUUUCUUACAAAAUCUCAUCCUCUCAUGACUCUUUCUUUUUAAUCUUCAACUCUUUCUUUUCUCUCUCAUCUUUUCUUUUGUCACUCCAUUUUUAAUCAAACCUCAUUAGUUUUAAUUUAUUGAUGUUUUCUUCUAUCUUUUAAUUUUGUUUUUGCCCAUUAAAUUGGAAAAAGUUAAAAAAGAAUUAUUUUUCUUUAACCCAAAUUAUUUAAUGCCACAACCACUCACUUUUAUCUCAUUUUUUGUUUCUUAUCAAGUUUGCAUUUUUAUUUUCAAUUCUCUUAACUUCUUUCGAACUUCAAACUUUCUUUUUUAAAUUACAAUCUUUAAAUCUCAAAGACGUAAAUUAAAAUUUAAAUUCACAAUAUCAAAUUCUCAUAGACGUGAAUUUGUAUAAUUUCAAAAUAUUGUGAUAUUUUUGGGUUGGAUUUAAGAUUUUUUUGGUAGAUAUAAUUGAAAUUGAGAUGAAAUUUAUUUGUUUUAACUUAUAAUUUAAAUAAUUUAUUUUUGAAAAUCCAAAUUAUUCAAAAAUAGUGAACUUUUCAUCAUAUAAAGUUUUAAAUUAGUCCAU
rnacentral:lncRNA from 1 species